CCAGAUUCUAAUCAAAGAGACUGAUAUGUCCUGAAUGUGUUCUUCAAAAUUUAAAUGUUAAAAAACUGAUCCCUGGUGCCGUCGUGUUGGGAGCUGGGCCCUUGGGAGGUAGUUAGGUCAGGAGGGCUCUGCCUCACAGAUGGAUUAAUGCCAUUAUUGAAAAGGGCAGAAGAAGUGGGUUUGCUCUCUUCUUACUCUUGUUCCAUGAAGACACAGCAUUUGACCUCCCUUUUUGCCCAUACACGUGCCACAAUCUGAGGACACAGCAAGAGUCGCAGACACUCAAUCUACCACCACCAUGAUCCAGAUCUUCCCAGCCACCAGAACAGUAAGAAGUCUUCAACCAAAGACUCAUCAAUAACUGUUCCAGCCCAGAGUCAUCUCCUGUGCUAUGAAUUAUGCCCCUGAUACAGUGGAGCCCCUUAGUCUUAUCAUCUCUUUUGUGCUACUGUAACAUGACACCUGGGACUGGUUGAUCCUACAUUUCUUGGUGUCUAAUUUGUAAGGCCU
ensembl:lncRNA